GAUGAACGCUGGCGGCGUGCCUAAUACAUGCAAGUCGAGCGAACAGAUGAGGAGCUUGCUCCUCUGACGUUAGCGGCGGACGGGUGAGUAACACGUGGAUAACCUACCUAUAAGACUGGGAUAACUUCGGGAAACCGGAGCUAAUACCGGAUAAUAUAUUGAACCGCAUGGUUCAAUAGUGAAAGACGGUUUUGCUGUCACUUAUCGAUGGAUCCGCGCCGCAUUAGCUAGUUGGUAAGGUAACGGCUUACCAAGGCAACGAUGCGUAGCCGACCUGAGAGGGUGAUCGGCCACACUGGAACUGAGACACGGUCCAGACUCCGACGGGAGGCAGCAGUAGGGAAGCGUCCGCAGUGGGCGAAAGCCUGACGGAGCAACGCCGCGUGAGUGAUGAAGGUCUUCGGGUCGUAAAACUCUGUUAUUAGGGAAGAACAAAUGUGUAAGUAACUAUGCACGUCUUGACGGUACCUAAUCAGAAAGCCACGGCUAACUACGU
rnacentral:rRNA from 1 species